UACGGAGGAUGCAAGCGUUAUCCGGAUUCACUGGGUUUAAAGGGUGCGUAGGUGGGCAGAUAAGUCAGUGAUGAAAUCUCCAGGCUUAACCCGGAAACUGCCAUUGAUACUAUCUGUCUUGAAUACCGUGGAGGUGAGCGGAAUAUGUCAUGUAGCGGUGAAAUGCUUAGAUAUGACAUAGAACACCAAUUGCGAAGGCAGCUCACUACACGAAUAUUGACACUGAGGCACGAAAGCGUGAGGAUCAAACAGG
rnacentral:rRNA from 1 species